GUUGAGUCUCUGCACAGCUGCCGCGCUGACGCGUUUUCCGCGUGUCCCGAGCCCCGGCGGCCCCGCGAGCUCGGUCCGUGCGGGGAAAGCAGGGCUGACGCCGUCUGCGGAGAGGACUGCGCAGCCGGGCUUGUGUGGGGCCGCGCGUAACGGCAGCGGCUACUCCCUGCCCAGGCCGGCCAGCACAGGGCCAUGGCCGAGGCGGCUGCGCCUCCGGUAAGGGCGACCCUCAUGGAGGCUUGGGGACGUGGAGCCGAGUCCUGAAUUCGCCAGGAGGAUGUUCCACCCCCCACCAUCUCCGGCGACCUCCUGGAACUGGGGAGGGCUCAGCCCGGGUGGCAGGAGGAGGACAAGGACUCCUAAGGCCACACGAUAAACGCCCUUCUCGCUCUCCGUUUCCUUGCCUGUGGAAUAAGGACUGGCAUUGCGGACUGACCUCCAGGGAGAGGCCCAGAUCUGAUCUGCAGAGAUCUCCCUUCCGGCUAUCGUGGCUGCUGUUCAGGUGGUGGAGAAGAAGAUGGAACCCCAGGCUGCCUGGCUACAGAGCCUGGAGGGAUGCAUGUGGACAGCCAAGAAGAAGCUGGCUGACUGCGAGAAGGUGGCUGUGGAGUUCGGGAACCAGCUGGAGGUGCCUGUGACUCCUGAAGACACGGUCGGGUAUUUCUCAGAGCAGCAGGGUGGCGGCCUGGAGGACUCAUAGAAGGAGUUCUGCAAAUGUGUUGUGAAGGGGAGCUGCGACACCCUGAGCUUCCUGGGUGAGAGGCUGGCCUCUGGGGGCCUCCACACCUUGGUUUUACUCCUUUAUUCAAUCACAUGAGACUCCUGAAUCUCAGAGCAGGAAGCAUGUGGAGAUCAUUUCUUCAGCCCUCUGUCUUCAGGCAGGUAGAAGGUAUCUGUCAUUCUCAUUUUGAAGUUUUAUGUAAUGAAAUGCAGAGGUUAUGUGACUUGUUCCAGAUUUCUUGGAGUAAAUAAACUGGAAUCUGCUCCUCGCUGUCCUGCCCUUCGCGUGGUGCCAGAGGCAGCUCCUGCGUGCACACCUGUGGCUCACCAGCCUAUCUGCUCCUGGGGAGCUGGGGCCUCCCCUGGUUUACAUCUGCAUCUCUAGGACUCCCACGCUGCACUCUGCACACUGAGUUCUCAGGAGAUUCCUGCUGAGCAAAGAAGGAUGAAUUGUAGGCCUGCUUUUUUUUUUUUUUUUUUUGAGACGGAGUUUUGCUCUUGUUUCCCAGGCUGGAGUGCAAUGGCGUGAUCUCAGUCACCACACCCUCCGCCUCCCGGGUUCAAGUGAUUCUCCUGCCUCAGUUUCCUGAGUAGCUGGGACUACAGGCAUGGGCCACCACACCCGGCUCAUUUUAUAUUUUUAGUAGAGACGGGGUUUCUCUAUGUUGGUCAGGCUGGCCGCGAACUCCCAACCUCAGGCGAUCCUCCCGUCUCGGUCUCCUAAAGUGCUGGGAUUACAGGAGUGAGCCACCAGGCUUGGCCAGGCCUGCUUUUAAGGAUGCCCCAGGUCCAGAAAAUCAGGGCCAGGCCUGGGAAGUUCGCUCCUUCAGGCAGGUGUGCGUCUUCGUGUGAGACUUGAUCAGACCUGGGUUUUUGUAGCUACCCCACUCCGAAGCUCUCCUGCGUGAACCUGGAAUUCUCACUGCUUUGGGCAGAGGUUCCUCCUUCAGAAAAGGGUCCCAGUGUGCUGUGGGAGGCAGGGUGAGGAGGCUGUCCGGCCUCAGGCGAGGAAGGAGAAGCACGUGGAAGGAAGGGCAGCAGGAAGCCUGAGCCUGACUGCCAUGGAUGGCCAGACCCACUCUUGGGCCUCAGUUUCCUCAUCUGUCUGGACUAGGCCAGGCCACCACCAAGCCAGAUCUGGCACCAGUGGAGAAAGGAGACAGGCAGGCAACUGCAGCCUGCCCAGUGCGGAGAGGGGCCAGAGCCCGGGCACUGGGCCCUGGUUAAUGGUGGAGCCAGCCUGGUGUGUGGCAGCCAGGUCGGGCUGGUGUCUUCAGAGUGGCUGUGUCAGAAGGGCCUCGUGUAUGACAGAAACGCAGGCCAGCUGGAACGUCCCCAGGCGUUCUGUCCUGGAUCAAGCAAGAGGAAGGGGCAAGUGGGAGGAGCCAGCAGGGCCCACAGGAGACCACUGUGGCACACCUGUGCUCAGGUAAGGCAUGCUGGGCCAUGUCUCCUCAGGCCUGUAUCCCUGGGCCUUAGGAGACAUGGCGUCCCCUGGGGGGCCUCACAGCGCCUCUAGUGGGGCCUUCUCCUGGGCGAGGCUCCUGAGGGAAGGCAGUGCGCAGCCUUGGCUGUGUCUCUGCAGAAUCUUGUAUGCUUGCUGCGUGGUGUCCUCCCAUGCAGUUGCACGAAAUCAUUCUUUUAUUCCUGAUCCUGUUUCCUGUUUAUUUCAUGAACUUGUCUGUAGGCAGCAUGGUGC
ensembl:lncRNA novel transcript